AUUGAAAUAAAAUAAUAAAAUCGUCAAGGCGUUUAUUUACAAAAAAUAAAAAACAAAUAAUUUUAAACCAAAUAUAUUGCAAAAUAAAAAGGAAUUUAAAGAAGAUAAAAGCAAAUAAAAUGAUAGAAAAUCAAAUGAACAAAAGUCCGAUGAAAGUUGAGGGCGAAUUUGAAAAGGAAUUACUACGUUCAUACUUGGUCAUGUAGUGUCCAAGUCGCUUUUUUUUCUACAACUAUUUUUAGAUUGGUUGCUGCCGAAAAUUAUAGAGGAACGAAAUAAGAAAAUGGACAAUAUUACUAUUUGGGAGUUCCUCAAUUUUGAUGACAGGGACCUUAUCGCGGUACGAUCGAAAUUAUCUAUAUUGCCAUUAUUAAUCGGAUACAAUUAUGUGUAUGGAGUUAUAUAUAUUUUGCGCCUUAUCGUACGAGUAUUAUUGUCAACAGCUCCCCUGAAUUACAUUUAAAUUGUUAAUUUUUGUUAUAAUAACUGUUAAUUGUUAUGUAAUUUUUUUGUAUUUUCGCCUAUGUUCUGUAAAAUGAAAAAGUUUGUCAUAGAAUUUAUCUGUUUUCCAUUAAUUUGAGGAUACUUUAAGUUCCAUUUCAAACAUUUUGGUUUUAUAGAACAUAGAAAGAUUAAUUUGUUAUUUUUUGUUAAAAUGAUUGUUAA